rnacentral:rRNA from 1 species
AUACGUAGGGGGCGAGCGUUGUCCGGAAUGAUUGGGCGUAAAGGGCGCGUAGGCGGCCCGGUAAGUCUGGAGUGAAAGUCCUGUUUUUAAGAUGGGAAUUGCUUUGGAUACUGUCGGGCUUGAGUGCAGGAGAGGUAAGUGGAAUUCCCAGUGUAGCGGUGAAACGCGUAGAGAUUGGGAGGAACACCAGUGGCGAAGGCGACUUACUGGACUGUAACUGACGCUGAGGCGCGAAAGUGUGGGGAGCAAACAGGAUUAGAUACCCUGGUAGUCCACACUGUAAACGAUGAAUGCUAGGUGUAGGGGGUAUCGACCCCUUCUGUGCCGCAGUCAACACAAUAAGCAUUCCGCCUGGGGAGUACGGCCGCAAGGUUGAAACUCAAAGGAAUUGGCGGGG